GACGAACGCUGGCGGCGUGCUUAACACAUGCAAGUCGAACGAAGAGCGAUGGAAGCUUGCUUCUAUCAAUCUUAGUGGCGAACGGGUGAGUAACGCGUAAUCAACCUGCCCUUCAGAGGGGGACAACAGUUGAAAACGACUGCUAAUACCGCAUACGAUCUAAUCUCGGCAUCGAGGAUAGAUGAAAGGUGGCCUCUACAUGUAAGCUAUCACUGAAGGAGGGGAUUGCGUCUGAUUAGCUAGUUGGAGGGGUAACGGCCCACCAAGGCGAUGAUCAGUAGCCGGUCUGAGAGGAUGAACGGCCACAUUGGGACUGAGACACGGCCCAGACUCCUACGGGAGGCAGCAGUGGGGAAUCUUCCGCAAUGGACGAAAGUCUGACGGAGCAACGCCGCGUGAGCGAUGACGGCCUUCGGGUUGUAAAGCUCUGUUAAUCGGGACGAAAGGCCUUCUUGCGAAUAGUGAGAAGGAUUGACGGUACCGGAAUAGAAAGCCACGGCUAACUACGUG
rnacentral:rRNA from 1 species